ACCCCCCAUUCCCAUGGAGAACUCAGGUAGCCCCUAAUGAUCCUGCCCUCUCUGCGCUGGGCCUGGGUCUGUUCAUUUCCUGAGUGGGAGGCUGGGACCUCACAACUCUUAGGGGCAUGGCCUGGCGCUUCUCAUAUCUCCCAUCUCUCUGCAGAGGCCAGAGCUGCCAAAGGAUGAGGGCUCGGCCCUACGGCCGCGUGAUCCCAUCCACAGGUCUGGAGGCCCCUCAGCUGAGCCUCAGCCCCUGACCUGCCUGGGCUCAGCUCCCACCUGGCCUGGUGGCUGCCAUGUGUAGCUCAUGCUUUACAUCUCCCCGUUCUCCAGAAUCUUCCAUGCAUGCCACGACUCCCUGGACCUGGAGACUUUUGACUACAUCACCCAAUAUGUCCCUCAAGACACCCUCCAUCAUCAUGUCUUCCAAGAAAAAGGUGAAGCUCCCUCCCCCAGGCCUAUACACACCUACCUAUGUCCACGCUUUCGUGUUCACUGAUCUAGGCCUGUGUGUGUGUGUGUGUGUGUGUGUCUGCACUACUGUAGCCCCGCUGUUUACACUUGCCUCAGCCUGAGGGGCUGUGCUCCUAAUGCCUGCCCCUACAUCGGUGUACAUAGUCUGUUUCGUCUGCACGGAGUCUGCCAGCCCUCACCGGCACCCUCUGCACGUGGCAGACCAGACCAGCGACACGCCAUGGAUGUUCAAACACACACAACUCCAGCAUCACCAGGACCAGCAAGACCAGCAGUGCUCCCAGGCUCCAGGGGGUCCCAGAUCCUGGAGGGCCCAGACAAGCUGUUGGCUUCAACUGCCUCAAGAGAUAGGACGAAGGCCCCAUCUGAGUGACCUUAUCUAUUUGUUACUUUCAAUCACCUGUCAACAACCUUCCAGCUCCCAGGAUGUCACCAGACCUGAUUCCAACUGCCUCCCGGACUUCUCUAAAUGUCCCCAGGCUCUCAGCCUCACCAGAUUCAAACCAUUCUCAUCAUCUCUCCCCCAACCCCUAACCAGCGCUGAUAUCCCCCAAGGUGACUUCACCAUCAUGCUCACUUCCUCCGGUUCCCUCCCACCACGGCCAAUCCCUCAGCAAAAACUGCUGGCUCAAUCUCCUUAACAGCUCUGGCAUCUUCAUCCUUACCACCCCACAGCUGCUCCUGACCUGGUCCAGGCCACCACUGUGCCUCCCGACUGGCUCUCCCACCCCAGCUUCGUCUCAUUAGCUGGCUCUCACAUGCCCAUCUGAUCAUGUUGCUUCCUUGUCUGAGCCUGUCCCUGGAUCCCUGAAACCCCCAAA